UGGUCCUAUUGCCGAAAUCCAAUAAACAAAAAUGAAACACAAGAAAGAUCAGCCCAGCCCUCUGCUUUCUUUCUAUGUACACGUCCCUAAAGAGUAGGAUUUCCUAAUCCGCUACUUCCACUAAGUUCCUUUCUACUCAAUUCCUAUUCAUUUCACCUGAUGCUGAACUGCUCCCUGCGAUCUGCGGCUUCGCUUCAUGCUUUGGGAACGAUUGGGUCGAUUAAUCUAUCAAGAGUGUUGAUUGACUGUGCUGCUUGGAGAACCCCAGUCCACCUUCUCAGAUUGGUGCUUAACGCGACUUCCAGGUUUAUGCAACUCAACUUCUCCUUUUUGUUGAGUCUGUGUUUGUUGGCUGCGACGUCCUAGGCUAUCUUGCUUUUCAUACUUCUUGUUGCCCUCGAGGCUCUCUAUAAAUAUUGUAUAUGUGAAAGAACAAUUCUUUAGCCUUCCCAUCCCCUAUCUCCUUUGUGGUAAAACUGUUAUGUAUGGACAAUUUAGUUUAUCACUGUUGAUGAUCUUUGUCCUUUUAUAUCCAUGCUCCUGAAAUCUGAAAAAAUACAGUUCCCUUGGUCUAUUGCUCUGUUCACUAAAUAGUUUGCUAACUGGUUUCCUUCUCUCAUGAUGUCCUCGAAUUGUGCUCUUUCCCACUUAGGUUAGCUUUUAUUUCCUCAAUUGUAUCACUGAUGCACCAUGGUACAUUCCACUCACCCAUUAAAACUUUGUAUAGUAAUAGAGAAUAUGUUUGAAUGAUGAUAUGAUUAUGUUGUGUCCGUGUGCAAUGCUUACUUGCUUCUAAUAUCGCCUUCGUUUCUGACCUCGUACUGGUACUGCUCUCAAUUGCUGCUGCUUCCGCAUAGAUUAUGUCUCCUCUUUCAUUCCUUAGGCAAAAAGCAUAGGAACUCUCCCUGGGUUUCCUAUAGAUGCCCCAUCCGUAUUAUAUUUAAACCAGCCUUUAGGGGGAUAUUCCCACUUUAUCAGUUUAGCAUUCAUUCUUGGGCGAUACUUCUCUAGCUCUUGUAUCAUUUCAGACCAAUUUACCGGACAUCUCAUAUUUGGCCUACGAACUCUGAUUAGCAUAUGCAUAUGUCUUGUAAUGUUAUGAAUACGUCUUUGUGCUGAAAUACUCUUCCCUUCAUGCUUUAUCUUGUUCCUCCUUCGCAUAGCUCUCAUAUUACAAAAUUGGGUAGAGCUCUGUAAUAAGGUUCAUGUCUGCUCUGCCAUUUGUAUCCCACCGUUCCAUGCUUGUUCCUCUUAAGGUUUGUCUUGCUAUGUUGAUACCUGCAAAAGAACAGAAGUAGAACCAUGUCCUGUUAGCAUAAGGGGAUCUUAGGAAAACAUGGGUCAUUGUUUCCUGUUCUGGUUGUUCACAACACCAACACCUAGAUGGCCCCUAUAUUCCCAUCUCCUAACCUUAUCAUCCAGUGGGAUCUUGAACUUCCAUAGUCUCCACAUUAGAAAAGCCAUUUUAAAAGGUACCCCUUUCGUCCAUAUCCAUUUAUAGAUUUUAUUUGGUUCCUCUCUAUGCCUGAUAUAGUUCCAUGUUGUCUUCACUGAGAAUGAUCCCUUUGUAUCUAGCAUCCAUACUGGUUUAUCAGUCUCCACUCUGCCCCUAGGAGGUGUCACAAACUACAGAAUAUGGUCUGCAAAUUCCAUAGGAAAUAUUUCCCAUAUAACGUCUUCAUCCCACUCGCCUUAUCUGGUUAGGUCCUUUACUACACUACCUAUCGAAAAAAUGGCCUUCUUCGCAAAGAAAUUAGGUGGAAGAUCUGGAAAGGAAAUCCAUGCUACACCAAUGGUUUUUCAACAUCAGGCUCAACCACGGGUCCUACUUAAGGGUUCUCAUCUGCCAAUAGUUCUCUUUGGCCUUUACAUAGAAGGCCACUUUCGACAGUAGGUACAUGUAAUCUUCCAUCGUCGUCACGUGAAUCAGCACAUGUCUCGUAUCCAACAAACCAAUCGUGCAGUCACACUUUAUUCCACAUUGUCUAGGGAUUGUCCUUGUCAGUUCUUGGAUAUCUGGUUUGCCAUAUGAAAACUUGCCGAUAAUUGCAUACCGUAAAUAUUCUUGGAUGAUGAGGGAAUUUGUUAGCCCCAUCUGAUCAAGAAGUUUUAAUAAUGUAAACACGUAACUGACUUACUGUCUAUUGCUGGAAAAGAAAGAGAACUAAGUCAAGAACAAAAUACCUAAGAAAAGGAAUCUGCUGAAAGAGUCAAGCACACAAGAAAGGAAAGGGAAUAUCUGUUAAAUCAAUCAAGAUAAACCUGCACAUAUCAAAGGACAUAUACAAGGAAACAAGAACAUCAAAAGAAGAAGAUAUUCACUCAAUCAAUAUACGAGUACAAUACACAUUUAUCAAAGGAUAUAAUUAAGGAAACAAGAUCAGCCAGAAUCAGUCUCUAAGGAAGAAGUCAACAUCAAAGAAGGAAGUCAAGAUGAUAAAAAUCAAGACAAGAAUCAAAAGAUCAUCAUACAAGGAAGGACUUGAUUUGCUCAUGCACAUAUUUGAUAUGGACAUGACUCAACAAAUCAAUUAGGAUCGAAUCAAGUAUAUCAUCAAUAAUCCUUGAUUCAAAUACCCUUGGGUUUCCGCAAAAGAGCAAAGCUAUUUAAGCCUCUCUUAGCCAUAGUUGUGAAGCUCGCAACUUCACUUGAAUUUAUAUUGUAAUCUUUUUUCAUCUUUCAUAAAGCUCUGUACACGUGAGUGAACAAUUGUAAAACAAAAAGAGAAGGAAAGAUUCUGAGUGUAGGUUAUAUAAGUAGAGGUAGUGUCUACAUAGAAGUUCUGAUUUGCAUAUCAGACAGGACUUGAAGAUUACACUUCAUGUAUAACCAAGUUCUCACCAAGCUCUAAAAAAAACCCUUGAAACCCAAGGGGACUAAACUAGACACCACAUCGCUGAUUUGAACCAGUAUAAAAACAUCUUGUGUCAAUUUUCUUUCAGCAUCUUAUCUUGUUUUAUACUUUGGAACUAACUUGCAGGUGAGUCGACUACUCCUCACAGGAAGCCGACUUUUUAAGUGUUUAACCACACGUGAGCAAAGAUCCAAUGGCACACUAUCAGAUUCCUGGCGCUCUACUUCAAGAUGGACACUCUUCACAUCGACCACCAUAUUUCAAUGGACAACAUUAUGCUCACUGGAAAGACAGGUUCAGAAUAUUUGUCUCCUCUAAUGAUCAUCAAGCAUGGAUUGUGUUUAAGAAGGGUCCAAAGCUUAUUCCUGAAUUGACUGAAAAAGAUGGCACUGAAAAGCCAUUUGACCCUUAAUCGUUCGAUAUCACUAAGGAACAACAAGAGGUAAUUCAAACUAAUGUUAGAGUUAUAAGUUUGUUAUACUGUGCAGUGAGUGGAGCCGAAUUUGACAAGAUUUCAACAUGUGAAACUGUGAAAGAAAUGUGGGACAAAUUUGAAGUAACUUAUGAAGGAACCACUAAAUUGAAGGAAGCUCGGAUCAGUUCACUUGUAAAUGAAUAUGAAUUGUUCAAAAUGGCAGAACAUGAAAACGUUGAAUCCAUGUUCUCAAGAUUCAGUAAAAUUGUGUGCGAACUCACUUGGAAUGGUGUAUUCAAAUGCACUACAAGUCAGGAAACUCGUUAGAAGUCUUCCUAAGGCUUGGGAAACCAAAACGGCAAUUCUUGAAGAUGGAGAUCUGCAUAAAAUGACGUAGAUGAACUUUGAGGCAACUUAAUGGCCUAUGAAUAGAAUCAUAUUAACAGGUACAAUAAAGAUGAUAAAAGGAAUACGGUGGCAUUCACAGCUGAGACAUCUGAAAUUGAAGAAAAUGUUGGUGAAAAUCAAGACGAAGGAAUGGCUCUCAUAAACCGAGGAGUGAGACAAAUGCUUAGACAAAGAAGACAGAGACCUCAAUAGGAUUUCAAGAACAAUGAUUUCAAAAGGAAUGAUGAUCGAUGCUACUAUUGUUGACAAAUAUGACAUAUCAAACAAAACUUCCUAGAACGAAGAAGAAAAAAUAAUCGAAGAAAUGCAGAUCCAAAAAGUCUAGGAGCAUGGGAUCAAGGAGAAACAACUGACGAUGAUCAUGAUGAAAUGGAAAAUGUAUGUUUCAUGGCACUAGGUGAAACAAGUGAGGAGCCAUCUAAGAAAACCUACAGAAAAGGAAUGUGGGUGCUUGACAAUGGAUGCUCUAGACACAUGUGUGGAAAUAAAGAAAUCUUCAAAACUAUAAAAAUCUGGGGUAAAAAUCAAGAAGUUAGCCCCAUGUGAUCAAGAAGUUUUAAUAAUGUAAACACGUAACUGACUUACUGUCUAUUGCAGGAAAAGAAAGAGAACUAAGUCAAGCACAAAAUGCCUAAGGAAAGGAAUCUGCUGAAAGAGUCAAGCACACAAGAAAGGAAAGGGAAUAUCUGUUUAAAUCAAUCAAGACAACCCUGCACAUAUCAAAGGACAUACACAAGGAAACAAGAACAUCGAAAGAAGAAGACAUUCACUCAAUCAAUAUAGGAGUACAAUACGCAUCUAUCAAAGGAUAUAAUUAAGGAAACAAGAUCAGCCAUAAUCAGUCUCUAAGGAAGAAGUCAGCAUCAAAGAAGGAAGUCAAGAUGAUAAAGAACAAGACAAGAAUCAAGAGAUCAUCAUACAAGGAAGGACUCGAUUUGCUCAUGCACAUAUCUGAUAUGGACAUGACUCAACAAAUCAAUUAGGAUCGAAUCAAGGAUAUCAUCAAUAAUCCUUAAUUCAAAUACCCUUGGGUUUCCGCAAAAGAGAAAAGCUAUUUAAGCCUCUCUCAGCCAUAGUUGUGAUGCACACAACUUCACUUGAACUUAUAUUGUAAUCUUCUUUCAUCCUUCAUAAAGCUCUGUACACGUGAGUGAACAAUUGUAAAAGAAAAAGAGAAGGAAAGAUUCUGAGUGUAGGUUAUACAAGUAGAGGCAGUGUCGACAUAGAAGUUCUGAUUUGCAUAUCAGACAGGACUUAAAGAUUACACUUCCUGUCAAACCAAGUUCUCAUCAAGCUCUAAAGGAAACCCUUGAAACCCAAGGGGACUGGACUAGGCACCACAUCGGUGAUCCGAACCAGUAUAAAAA